AGCAGUAUUGARCUGAAGAGUUUGAUCAUGGCUCAGAUUGAACGCUGGCGGCAGGCCUAACACAUGCAAGUCGAGCGGAUGAAGGGAGCUUGCUCCUGGAUUCAGCGGCGGACGGGUGAGUAAUGCCUAGGAAUCUGCCUGG
rnacentral:rRNA from 1 species